GACAGAGGAUGCAAGCGUUAUCUGGAAUGAUUGGGCGUAAAGCGUCUGUAGGUGGCUUUUUAAGUCCGCCGUCAAAUCCCAGGGCUCAACCCUGGACAGGCGGUGGAAACUACCAAGCUGGAGUACGGUAGGGGCAGAGGGAAUUUCCAGUGGAGCGGUGAAAUGCGUAGAGAUCGGAAAGAACACCAACGGCGAAAGCACUCUACUGGGCCGACACUGACACUAAGAGACGAAAGCUAGGGGAGCGAAUGGG
rnacentral:rRNA from 1 species